AACGCGAAGAACCUUACCAACCCUUGACAUCCCCGGACCGCCGCAGAGAUGCGGUUUCCACUUCGGUGGCCGGGUGACAGGUGCUGCAUGGCUGUCGUCAGCUCGUGUCAUGAGAUGUUCGGUUAAGUCCGGCAACGAGCGCAACCCACGUCCCCAGUUGCCAGCAUUCAGUUGGGCACUCUGUGGAAACUGCCGAUGAUAAGUCGGAGGAAGGUGUGGAUGACGUCAAGUCCUCAUGGCCCUUACGGGUUGGGCUACACACGUGCUACAAUGGUGGUGACAGUGGGUUAAUCCCCAAAAGCCAUCUCAGUUCGGAUUGUCGUCUGCAACUCGACGGCAUGAAGUUGGAAUCGCUAGUAAUCGCGUAACAGCAUGACGCGGUGAAUACGUUCCCGGGUCUUGUACACACCGACGGUGUGUACAAGACCC
rnacentral:rRNA from 1 species